rnacentral:rRNA from 1 species
CCUACGGGAGGCUGCAGUGGGGAAUAUUGCACAAUGGGCGCAAGCCUGAUGCAGCCAUGCCGCGUGUGUGAAGAAGGCCUUCGGGUUGUAAAGCACUUUCAGCGGGGAGGAAGGCGGUGAGGUUAAUAACCUCAUCGAUUGACGUUACCCGCAGAAGAAGCACCGGCUAACUCCGUGCCAGCAGCCGCGGUAAUACGGAGGGUGCAAGCGUUAAUCGGAAUUACUGGGCGUAAAGCGCACGCGGGCGGUCUGUCAAGUCGGAUGUGAAAUCCCCGGGCUCAACCUGGGAACUGCAUUCGAAACUGGCAGGCUAGAGUCUUGUAGAGGGGGGUAGAAUUCCAGGUGUAGCGGUGAAAUGCGUAGAGAUCUGGAGGAAUACCGGUGGCGAAGGCGGCCCCCUGGACAAAGACUGACGCUCAGGUGCGAAAGCGUGGGGAGCAAACAGGAUUAGAUACCCUAGUAGUC